CCUUCGAUAGCUCAGUUGGUAGAGCGGGGGACUGUAGAUCCCUAGGUCGCUGGUUCAAAUCCGGCUCGAAGGA
rnacentral:tRNA from 1 species